CUGAAGUUCUUCUGAAUUAUACUUGGGGUAGGCAUCAUUUCAUCUUCUAACUGGUUGGUGUAUGUAAUGUACAGUUGUCUUGUAAAAGACAGAUAAGCUUUGAAAUGAUGUAUAAAAGAAAACCCGAUGCACAUGCAUGCCCUAAACCCUAAAAGCCUCUGCUUUAUCAAAGAGUAAAAUCCAUGGGAUUUUGCUCAGGCCUGUAUAAGAAUUGUGAAUAGUGUGCAUUAUACUUUUAACCAAUCUGCCUUGGUCAGAAUGCCUGCUUCUGAAGGUGCAGUAAAUCAGAGAUGAUGAAGCCCCUACCAACAACGGUAACAUUGCCAGUGUGAAGGGGAAGGCUGAGGGCACACUGUGUACAAAACAUUUGGCUAGACAAAAGAGGAUACAUAAGAAAUAAAAGCUCCUUCCCCUGAAGUGCUUAUAGUUGACAGAGCAAAACAGUGCUCACUGUGAACGCAUUCACCAUGCAACAUGCCAGCUAGUGCCAAUCAAUGGGCGGGCGGCCAGCUGGGAGAGGAUAAUGAAGAACAAAUUCUUUGGCCAGGUGUCCUGUCUGGAGCCAGGUCAGGUGCAGCACAAGGAUACCAGGAGGGCAUGGACCAUGUCUACGUUGUUCAUCAUUAUAUUGCCUAGCAACCUGGCGCAAAGCAGGUACUGAAUACGUAUUUGUUGGCUGAAUAAAGAAAUUUUUCAAGCCAUUGCAAAAGAUCUGGGAAGAUCAAAGAUCAGUAGCCACCCAGUUCCUUUCAAACUGACCAUACCAUGAGCUGGACGGUUCUCCACUGCAGAGCAAAGAGCCAGUAGUUUAAAUUCCCUGGGAGCUCUGACUAUAAAAAGAGUCUAGGAUGAGUAAGUGUUAGAGAUUUCCUGCCUCCCUUUGAGAGGAAUAGGAAGGCAGAAAAAAGAAAACCUAAUUUCUGGAGGGGAGAAUCGGGGGAGUCUGGAGGGGAAGAUGUUCACUGUAGAUCCCUGUGUUGGUCAUCGGUUGCUCUGGCCAGGAAGGCCGCCUCAGCUGGGGUCCUGAAAGGCAUCUGUCUUCAGCCUUUUCCUACAAAGGGGAAGAAAAUACACGUGGGAGUCGGAGCUUUCAAGUAUGUAUUCAUUCAACACGUAUUUACUGAGUGCCUGGUGUGUGUCAGGACCAACGCUAGGAACUAGGGUGUCUAUAAAGCUGUAAAGGAAUGAGGUACAUAACAGGGAGUCAAUAAAUAUUUAUAAAUGAAUGCACAUAGCAUAAAGACCCCCUCAUCUCUUAAGGAGGACAGACAAGUUAGUCACUAUAUUAUAAUAGAAUGGGAAAAUUAAAAACAUAGAACUAAGAGGAACAGAGAGACAGCACAGACAAGGAAAUGAUUAAUGCUGGUGGUGGAACAGAGAGGGGUGGGGUUGUAGGAUGAUGGCAUUAAAGCCUUAACUAAUGGCCUCCCUGUAUUCUCAUUCUUUGCCCUGUAACUCUGUAGUGUUCUCCUACUCUGACUCUGAGCUCGGCCAUGUGACUUGCGUUGGUCAAUGGGAUGUUAACAAAUGUAAUGAAACUGUAAGCUUGACAAAACAAUGCCAGCCUGUUUCCACUUUCUCUCUUGCUUCUUUGAGAGGGCCAUCAGAAUAUGCCUGGGCUGACCAGCUGGAGGGGGGUGAGAAACAUAUGCAUGCAAGAGACGUGAGGAGGAGAGACCAGUUGUCCCAGCAGAUCAGUCUUUGACCAGCUGACUCUGAGAUAUGUGAGGGAGCCCAGCCAUUAUCAGCAGAGACCCUCCCUGCCCACAGCUGACCACAGACACAAGUGAGCCCACAAAGACGAGAAUGGUCCUGCUUACCAUAGCCUUGUGUGCAAUGAGAAAUGCUUAUUGUUUUAAGCCAUUGAGUGUUAUGGUUGCUUAUUUCACAGCAUUAUUGUGGUUAUAGACAACUGAUAUAAACUGUAAGGAAACAGACAAUGAAGGCUUCUGAAAUGAUGGGAUAUUUGAGGUGGGUCUUAGGCAUGACUAGGAGGUACAAAGUAAAUAUAAGGUAUUCGUAAGGCUGGCCUACUUAUAUGGAACCUCUAGAUUUUCUAACGAAAUGCGAAUUAACUUUUUCUGCAGGGGUGUCAAUUUUGCUUUUUCCUUUACGUUAACAUAAUCAGUUACUCAUAGAUUCUCUUAUAUCUUAGGAGAAAACUUAUUUCACUUGCUAUAACACAAAGCUCAUGAAUUAGCGUAGUUUGAAAUGU
rnacentral:lncRNA from 10 species